CCUACGGGAGGCAGCAGUGGGGAAUAUUGCACAAUGGGGGAAACCCUGAUGCAGCGACGCCGCGUGAGUGAAGAAGUAUUUCGGUACGUAAAGCUCUAUCAGCAGGGAAGAAAAUGACGGUACCUGACUAAGAAGCCCCGGCUAACUACGUGACCGCAGCCGCGGUAAUACGUAGGGGGCCAGCGUUAUCCGGAUUUACUUGGUGUAAAGGGAGCGUAGACGGCAGCGCAAGUCUGGAGUGAAAUCCCAUGGCUUAACCAUGGAACUGCUUUGGAAACUGUGCAGCGAGAGUGCAGGAGAGGUAAGCGGAAUUCCUAGUGUAGCGGUGAAAUGCGUAGAUAUGAGGAGGAACACCAGUGGCGAAGGCGGCUUACUGGACUGUAACUGACGUUGAGGCUCGAAAGCGUGGGGAGCAAACAGGAUUAGAUACCCGUGUAGUC
rnacentral:rRNA from 1 species